UUCAAGCGUAUGCUAGUACACGUGGACACCUACCCUAAGGAGGGGGAUAACCCCGGGAAACUGGGGAUAAUACCCCAUAGACUAGAGAAGCUGGAAUGCUCUCAAGUCCAAAGGUCCGCCGCCUUAGGAUGGGUCUGCGGUCGAUUAGGUUGUUGUUGGGGUAACGGCCCAACAAGCCCGUGAUCGAUACGGGUUGUGAGAGCAAGAGCCCGGAGAUGGAUUCUGAGACACGAAUCCAGGCCCUACGGGGCGCAGCAGGCGCGAAAACUUUACAAUGCGGGAAACCGUGAUAAGGGAACCCCGAGUGCCCGUAAAUUCGGGCUGUCCAUCAGCGUAAAUAACUGGUGAAGAAAGGGCCGGGCAAGACCGGUGCCAGCCGCCGCGGUAAUACCGGCGGCUCGAGUGGUGGCCACUAUUAUUGGGCUUAAAGCGUCCGUAGCUUGGUUGUUAAGUCUCUUGGGAAAUCUACCGGCUCAACCGGUAGGCGUUCAGGAGAUACUGGCAAUCUAGGGACCGGGAGAGGUGAGAGGUACUCCAGGGGUAGGAGUGAAAUCCUGUAAUCCUUGGGGGACCACCUGUGGCGAAGGCGUCUCACUAGAACGGCUCCGACAGUGAGGGACGAAAGCUGGGGGAGCAAACCGGAUUAGAUACCCGGGUAGUCCCAGCUGUAAACGAUGCGCGUUAGGUGUAUCGGUGACCACGAGUCACCGAGGUGCCGAAGGGAAACCGUGAAACGUGCCGCCUGGGAAGUACGGUCGCAAGGCUGAAACUUAAAGGAAUUGGCGGGGGAGCACCACAACAGGUGGAGCCUGCGGUUUAAUCGGACUCAACGCCGGAAAGCUCACCGGAUAAGACAGCGGAAUGAUAGCCGGGCUGAAGACUCUGCUUGACUAGCUGAGAGGAGGUGCAUGGCCGUCGUCAGUUUCGUACUGUGAAGCAUCCUGUUAAGUCAGGCAACGAGCCGAGGACCCCGAUUU
rnacentral:rRNA from 1 species